CUUGAUUUUACGAAUACAGACAAUUGUAAAGUGGGUUUAUUUGCGGACAGUCUUAGUCAUUCAAAUAGCAUUGGUGGUUCAGUGGUAGAAUUCUUGCCUGCCACGCGGGAGGCUCGGGUUUGGUUCCCAGCCAAUGCGCUUACUAAAAUCAGAGUUUUUGAUUGUAAUUAAACUAUUGUAUGUUUUGCCUCGAAAGACACAGUCGCUAGUGUUUGGUGAAGAUAUAAACGGAACGUUUUAAAUAGUUUGUUUGGUUCAAAUUGAAAGACUAAUUCAUUCAACUUAAAAUAAUAGCGAAGCGAAUUUUGAUGCAAGACGAUGUCUGUUGCCUAAAGGAUCUGCUGGAAUAAUGUAUUGAGAAUUGAGUCGUAUUUAAAUUACUGUAUCAAUAGAGGAGACAGUUACCUAAAUUAAAGAAAUUGUAAAUAGUAGCGGAGAGAUAAUGGCGAUAGAGUGGUGCCCACCGAAAUGUUUUUCAUUCUUAUAGAUUGACUGGCACGUGAUAAUUUUGGCGCUGUGUGUGUUAUUUUUAAAGUCUUGGACAUCCCAUAAGUGUGAAGAGGAAAGAGAAGAGAAAGUUGUAAAGUUUGGUUUUAAUCUUACGAUAGAGGGUAUUCCAGACAUGGGAAGCUCUCACACUGAAAGCAGAUUGACUUAAGGGGAUAUAGGUCUAACUUCCUGAUCCUUGGCUCUACGAUGGAGUUGACAGUGUGAUGGGGAGUAUAAGCCAAUUUGAAAGAAUAGUUUCAAUAGAAUGUGUGGAUAUUCUCUUUGAAAUAUGUUUAGAUAUGUGUAUUAAGAAUAAUUGGUAAAAGUAAUAAUUUAUCAUGUAGUUAAUGAACUGAACUAAACUGUUGUUCUUUCGAGGUUAUCAUGAAAAGUGACAUCAGACGGUAUCUUAAUGCAUGGAAGAGAUAUUUGGACCGAAGAGGGGGUUUUGAGGAGUGUGAGAGGAGUCCACGUAGAGUGAGCAUGGAGAGAGAUCUGUUCUAAACUUUUCUUAUGUUGCGGGAAUACUGGUUGAUGAAUGGACAAGACAUAAUGAGUGGUAAAGAUGAGACAUUGAAAUUGAAACAUUAUCAUGGGCCAUCCACUUUGAACUGUAAAGUUAUCUGAAGAAGAAGGAAAAGGACGCCAGAAGAAUCAGUGCCUGAGGGAGUGGGUUGGUCAACUGUGCCAAUAAAAUUGUUUUAGACUUUUGUGGUAUCAGGUUGAUUGUAGAGGUUUACGCCAUGUAAAAUUAUAGUCAUUUAGAUUAAGAAUGCACUGAGAUACUGAUCUGUAUUAUAAUUGUGAUUUAAAAAGUUAAUAGUAGAAUUAUGGGAUAAUUAUUGAAUGUUAAUAUGAAUGUAAUUCUGCUAAAAUUGAUGUGUGUUAAAUUGAGUUUUUUACUUUGAGUGAUAAGACCAAUUUGAAUCACUGAGGAAUGUCAUUCUAAAUUUUGGUUGGAUAAAUAGUUGGGUUGUUAAUUAUGAUUUGGAAUAUGAAUGAUUUCCCUGACCUAUUCCUGACCACAUCUCUGAGCAUGAGGGAUGACUGUCCUAUAUGUUGUGAUGAGGCCUGUGUUUAGACACUGGUUCUCAUGUAACUUAGGAAGCAUUUUUAUGUUUUUGUUUUUAUUUUUCUCAACAAUGGAAUAGUCUGUGUGAUUAAACCUGUGCAAGUUUGUCUUGUAGAAUAAAGGUUGUAAACUUAGUUUCAGAAGGGAGAAAGCUUAUAUAUAAGCUAGGGAUUUUGACAUUGAAGGGAUUUUAUUUGUUAUUUUAUUUUAAAUAUUGAGUAUGUAGUUAGUAAUGUUCUGAUUCUCCAAAAGGGACAAUGUCCCUUGAGAGGGUAAUGUCGUGGCUGAAUCAGAAUUAGUUAGCUAACAUUGAUAAAUAAGAUGUUUUAUUUACCUAAUAAUGCUUAUGUGAGAUUAGUCAUUAGGAUGUUUUCUUUUGGAUAAUACUGUUGGCAGCUGCAUUUUCCCCUCUUCUCCAGGGCUUAGUCAUUAGGGGCCCAGAGAGGGGAGAGGUCAGGCUUGUCUUCAUAUGUCAAUAUAGCUGUUAAACCAUGUGAUGCUAUGAAGAAUAUCAGAAGGGGAGGAGGACAGAAUGGAGGCUUGUCAUCUUAUGGGAAUGUGUCUGUAACUAUUGUAUGUCCCCUCUGAGGUUGCCCUUAUCUUGAUUUAGUAUAUCACCUAAGAGGCUCACUGUCUUUUCUGAUCUUGUCCAGGAGGGGUUGUAUUUGAGAUGGAAGUAUCUAGAAUUUACCAUUGAUAUAUGUCAUUGGAUGAGGUAAUGGUUUGGUACUAUGUUGUACCAAGAACGAGAUUAGAACUUCGUUUAAGAGACCAAACUGAACGAUAAUUUAUAGUUAAUGCUGUCUGGCUAUGGGAUA